GCUAACGUAGCUUAAUUAAAGCAUAACAUUGAAGAUGUUAAAAUAGGCCCUAAUAAACCUCGUAAGCG
rnacentral:tRNA from 1 species